rnacentral:lncRNA from 1 species
CCCACCCCCCGCUAUAGGACAGUGGCAAAAUCUCAACUCACCACAGCCUUCACCCCCUGAGUUUUAGAUUCCCCUGCCUCAGCCUCCCAAGUAGCUGGGACCAGAGUCGUUCGCCACCACACCUGGCUAAUUUUUGUAUUUUAAGUAGAGAUGGGGGGGUUUCGCCCUGUUGGCCAGGCUGGUCUCAAACUCCUGACCUCAAGUGAUCCUCCCACCUUGGCCUUCCAAAGUGUUGGGAUUACAGGCAUGAGCCACCUUUCCCUCCAGUAAAUGUUAUUAUGUAACAAGACUUUUUAGUCACCAGACUCUAUCUGAAAUUGCUUAAAGCGUAAUCAAAAACACUCUUGUUUCAACAUCAUUAUAAUGUGUUAGUUUGAAUUUAGGCACAAACAGGUGUUUAGAAGGGAAGUAUGUAACUGGCUUGAAGAAGACCCGGUAACCUCCAAGACAGCCUAGGAGGGAGCGGCACAGGUACGGAGUGGCACUGUGACUGUUUCACCUUCCGAGAGACCCUGGCGAAAACAGUUCCUCCCUGAUUUGUGUGGGAAUGACGAGGAAACUGAGGCUAAGAAAAAAAAAUACAGACGUGUGCCCAACGUCACAAUGAAGCUUUAAUGAAGACUUUAAUUGAAUUGAAGGCUCCCGUUUUAUGCAAAGAACUAGUAUAAAGGAGAGGGAAGGAAUCAUGUCUCCAGACUCCUAUCCAAUCUUGCUGCCCGGUAAGUAAGUAGGCCCUGGUGCAGGUUGGCAGACUUUGCCCCAUGCUGUUCUCCUUGGGAGCAACAAGUCCAGCGAGCGGAAAAGGGUCAGGGAAGGGGGCCGUCUGCUCCAGAUGGCAGUGGCUGCACUCCACCGCCUCUGUGGCCCUGGAAGCUUAAGGAUCCCAAACGCUUCCACUGCCUCUGCUUUUCCCAACGCAGGCCCCAGUCGAACAGGAAGAGGACUUCUAGCUCCUCACUCUGCAGCCCCUCCUGGGGAGAGAUCCUGACAGGUGGAAAGAUCCCGGACGCCGGAGCCGCUGCGGGAGCAGGGGCACAACGCACGCCUUCCGGGUUCCCCAGCGGUUCCCAAGCUGCAAAGGGACUUCGCCAGGUAUUUUCAACUCUCUCUCUAACUGCUGGGGUGUUGGAG